rnacentral:pre_miRNA from 1 species
ACUCCCUCCAUCCUAAAAUAAACCAAUAUUUUGUUUGACAAUUCGUCUUAUUUAUCUUUUUGGCGAUUAACAUUUUUGUUUUUAUUAGAUGAUAAAUUAUGAAUAGUAUUUUAGAUGUGACUAUUUUUUAAUUUCUUGAAAAUUUUUAAAAUAAGACGGAUAGUCAAAUGCUGGGCACGAAAACCGAAAGUUUGGUUUAUU